rnacentral:rRNA from 1 species
AGAGUUUGAUCCUGGCUCAGAGCGAACGCCGGCGGCAGGCCUAACACAUGCAAGUCGAACGGAUCCUUCGGGAUUAGUGGCGGACGGGUGAGUAACACGUGGGAACGUGCCCUUUGGUUCGGAACAACUCAGGGAAACUUGAGCUAAUACCGGAUGUGCCCUUCGGGGGAAAGAUUAUCGCCAUUGGAGCGGCCCGCGUCUGAUUAGCUAGUUGGUGGGGUAAAGGCCCACCAAGGCGACGAUCAGUAGCUGGUCUGAGAGGAUGAUCAGCCACAUUGGGACUGAGACACGGCCCAAACUCCUACGGGGGCAGCAGUGGGGAAUCUUGCGCAAUGGGCGAAAGCCUGACGCAGCCAUGCCGCGUGAAUGAUGAAGGUCUUAGGAUUGUAAAAUUCUUUCACCGGGGACGAUAAUGACGGUACCCGGAGAAGAAGCCCCGGCUAACUUCGUGCCAGCAGCCGCGGUAAUACGAAGGGGGCUAGCGUUGCUCGGAAUUACUGGGCGUAAAGGGAGCGUAGGCGGACUGUUAAGUUAGAGGUGAAAGCCCAGGGCUCAACCUUGGAAUUGCCUUUGAUACUGGCAGUCUUGAGUACGGAAGAGGUAUGUGGAACUCCGAGUGUAGAGGUGAAAUUCGUAGAUAUUCGGAAGAACACCAGUGGCGAAGGCGACAUACUGGUCCGUUACUGACGCUGAGGCUCGAAAGCGUGGGGAGCAAACAGGAUUAGAUACCCUGGUAGUCCACGCCGUAAACGAUGAGUGCUAGUUGUCGGCAUGCAUGCAUGUCGGUGACGCAGCUAACGCAUUAAGCACUCCGCCUGGGGAGUACGGUCGCAAGAUUAAAACUCAAAGGAAUGACGGAAGGGCGAAUU